UACGGAGGGGGCUAGCGUUGUUCGGAAUUACUGGGCGUAAAGCGCACGUAGGCGGCUUUGCAAGUCAGAGGUGAAAGCCCGGGGCUCAACCCCGGAAUUGCCUUUGAGACUGCAUCGCUAGAAUUGUGGAGAGGUGAGUGGAAUUCCGAGUGUAGAGGUGAAAUUCGUAGAUAUUCGGAAGAACACCAGUGGCGAAGGCGACUCACUGGACCACAACUGACGCUGAUGCACGAAAGCUAGGGGAGCAAACAGG
rnacentral:rRNA from 1 species